CAACCCGAUGCAAACUGCGAAUACCGGAGAAUGUUAUCACGGGAGACACACGGCGGGUGCUAACGUCCGUCGUGAAGAGGGAAACAACCCAGACCGCCAGCUAAGGUCCCAAAGUCAUGGUUAAGUGGGAAACGAUGUGGGAAGGCCCAGACAGCCAGGAUGUUGGCUUAGAAGCAGCCAUCAUUUAAAGAAAGCGUAAUAGCUCACUGGUCGAGUCGGCCUGCGCGGAAGAUGUAACGGGGCUAAACCAUGCACCGAAGCUGCGGCAGCGACGCUUAUGCGUUGUUGGGUAGGGGAGCGU
rnacentral:rRNA from 1 species